CACCAAGACCAUGAAAACCGUGCCAAAGACGCCUUGGAUAUUCUAGCUGACAAGCAAACCCCUGAUGCCCACCGAAAGGAAGCGCUGAAGGUAGUGGGCUGCAAAGGCCCAUCGGUAUUUGCCAAUCUCCUUAGUGAGUGCUUGAGGGCCAGCAGGACACAUAAAUGAUGCUUAAAGAGACUCAAAUACUCGUUGAUGCCAUGUGUGUAUCCUGCCACAAUUGCACUCCCAAAUUGCUUAAAAUGGUUGCCGUCCACACAGGCGUGGAUCUCCAGGACGUCUUCUUGGUGCCUGUCGCGCACGCACUGCUGUUGGGUGUAGUAAAGACCCUGUUGGCGCAGCUCUUUCGCAACCCCAAGGAUGCCAUGGGGCGGCCCGUUG
rnacentral:lncRNA from 1 species